AUUGAACGCUGGCGGCAGGCCUAACACAUGCAAGUCGAGCGGAUGAAGGGAGCUUGCUCCUGGAUUCAGCGGCGGACGGGUGAGUAAUGCCUAGGAAUCUGCCUGGUAGUGGGGGAUAACGUCCGGAAACGGGCGCUAAUACCGCAUACGUCCAGAGGGAGAAAGUGGGGGAUCUUCGGACCUCACGCUAUCAGAUGAGCCUAGGUCGGAUUAGCUAGUUGGUGGGGUAAAGGCCUACCAAGGCGACGAUCCGUAACUGGUCUGAGAGGAUGAUCAGUCACACUGGAACUGAGACACGGUCCAGACUCCUACGGGAGGCAGCAGUGGGGAAUAUUGGACAAUGGGCGAAAGCCUGAUCCAGCCAUGCCGCGUGUGUGAAGAAGGUCUUCGGAUUGUAAAGCACUUUAAGUUGGGAGGAAGGGCAGUAAGUUAAUACCUUGCUGUUUUGACGUUACCAACAGAAUAAGCACCGGCUAACUUCGUG
rnacentral:rRNA from 1 species